rnacentral:sRNA from 1 species
UGUCCUGAUUCGAUCGGGAUACUCAUCAAAUUACGUUGAAAACCGGGUCACUUCUCUUGUCGAUGGCGGGCCACAUAAAACCGCAUACUCGGACUAAGCCAAAAGGCCAGUGGAUUACAAAAACGGAGAGAGCCCACAACUUUUAUAGCUGGAGUUUUCAUCACAUCCUCAGGGCAACCCCU